UUCGUUGUGCCGGUAACUCAUGCGAUGGCGCGCUGCGUUGCCGACUAGGGCCGCAGAGACAGCGGGGCGGUGAGUGGGGUUGCACAGUGGAGAGGCAGCUGCAGGCACUUAUAGCUCACGGGGUUUACUGACCGCGCUGUGUCACAACUAGGAUGGCCAGACUCAGCAAACAAAAAUAUUGCGUGGGACGUGCUUAUAUGAAAGCUUCUCUACAAUUCAAAUCUAGGUGGGCAUCCUCUGUUUUAUCUGGCAACCUUUGUCACCACCCAAGUCAAAAAUCUGGCUGAAACAUGGGGCGUUGUUAGUUUGGACCAGUGUGCUUCCCAAAGUGUGUCCCACUGGAUAUUAGUAGAUUAGUACUUGUUAUAAUAAUAAUUAAAAUAUAAUAAUUAUUAUAUAGUAAUUUUUAAAAAUAGGUUCUGUGAUUACCUGUGUGAUGUAAACAAGGUUAAAGGAAUUUCUUACUGUUGGACUCUAACUGUUGAAUAGUCUCAUUGUGAAUUUUCAAGUAAAGUAGCAUUUCCCAAGCAUGUUUGAUCAGCAGUCCCUUUGGAAAACGCUUAUCCUCGCGUGGCAGCAGGGGCCGUCCACUGGCUAAGACUGAGCCCUUUCCCUGCUCUGGGACACCCAGCCAGGGCUGUCCUGCGCCCCUGCUGUGUCAUCCUGUAUUUGCCUCAGGCUGGAGAAGGCAAAUUCACCCCCUUCCCUCGGGUUGAAAUGAAUUGCAAUGCAGGCUGUAAAGCUUCUGUCUUUUUAAGCUAACGCAGAGUGAAGACCCUUCAUUUCAGGAAAUCACACUCAUGCCCCGAAUUCUUACAUAGCAUCAUUGACCUGAUAAACCCAAUCAGUUUGAACAUGAAUGCUGUCUCCAAACUGGGAAUUCUGUUUGAAGUUAGUCUUUCCAUGGACAAGUUCUGAAGAAACAGGAACAUUUGACAUAUCUGAAAAAUUCACACCAAAGAACAAGAAACACACUGAAGAAGAGGAUGAUUGGGAAGAAAAUUCUCACACUACCAGCUAACCCAGUUCCGUUUCGACAGCAGAUCUGAUGGUAUCGUGUGUGUCUGGAAAUGUUACGAGCCAGCUGAACGUCUUCAACAAUUUGUAACGUGACCUUGGGGGCAUGUUUUAGAAGACCAUCAGUCAUCGUGGAAAACAGUUCCCUCCUGCCACAGCUCACUCUCGAGACAGAAAAUACAAACAGAAUAAUUGAAAAUUCACUUGAGCUGGAAAUUGAAAAUUCACUUGAGCUGGAAAUUGAAAAUUUCACUUGAGCUGGAAUUGAAAAUUCACUUGAAAAUUCACUUCAAAUUCAACCAAAUAAUUUGCAAAUAUCCUUGGGUUUCAAACGGCUGGAAUUUACCUUCUCUCUAAACUUCUAAUGAGAAUCUUUUUUAUAGUUUAAAAAAUAUAUCUCUGGAGCUAAGACCCGAACAUUUUACGCUCAUUUUUUUUCAUGACUGUUUGGAUAAACUACUCAAGAAAAUAACCUUGAGUACCACAUGGUUGGUGGCUGGUAGCUACUUUUAUAUGAAGAGGUGGAAGCUUUUGACAUUGAUUCUGGGUUGGCUUAUAAAACAUCCAGUUUUAUGUAGCUCCAAAUGCUUCAAAAUGGCAUUCAGGUGGGGCAAAUUCUGAGGGUCAGCUUUUCCCCCAAAAUUGUAAAACUAUUUCAUUACAUCUGCAAGUUUCUUUUACUUGGAAUCAAGAUGGUGCUCUUUUAGAAAAAUUAUGCCUGACUUUAUUUGGUCUUAAAACAAAAAAAGGAGCACUAAAUCACUCAGUAGGAUGUUUACUUUUGCCAGAGACUGAACUGUCACUCAUCUCAAGAAGUGAUCCAAGUUCGCAGGUGAAAGGCAUCGUGUCUGUGGCCUGGUGCUGGACCAGAGCGUUUCAGCUCCUCAAGGAAUUGUAUUUAGUAUCAGGAAUCCAUGAAAGAAACCCUAUAGUUUCCCCUUUUCUCGUUCACUCCGGGAUGCAAACAUUGUACAGUUUAUU